CCCGGGUCAUGAGAAAGAAGCCAAGGGCAGGCUCAGGGCGCAGGAAGUGGAGCUGGCCAGCUGGGAGGCAGUGACAGGCGUGGGUACCAGGGCCUCCUGGAUGGGCUGGUGACAUCACAACCCCAGGAAGCAGCUGCCCGAGAGGCCCCCACUGUCCCUCAGCCCUCCUCUGGGAAAACCAGCCACCAGCUGUUGUAGUCCUCGUCUCACUGUCUUGCUGUUCUGGAUUGUCCCCUCCUGAACCAUCAUCUUCAAUGCAGCAGACACGUCCUCUUGUUGAUGACCUACUGUGUGCCAGAACCGCAUUUUGGAACCCUUCACAGAACAGCUGGCUGGGCAUGGAUGCAUGGAAAUGGAUUAGCACGCUCUCCGGCACCCCAUAGAUGUUAGCGAUUACUGUGACUGCCCCUGUUCUACGUGGAAGGAAACUGAGGCUCAGAAGAGCAGAGUCCAUUAGUGAAGACCAUAGAACAGCUGGAAGAAUUUUUGAAAUGGCUUUUGCGAGAAAGUUCAAACCCUGGAAUGACUAAGUCUCUGGAAGAAUUUGGACUUUGUAAGGGGAAUUUGUUUGUAUUUGGUAUGAAUCACCCAGUCACUGAUUUCUGCAGCUAGAAGAUCUUUUGGAAAGCUUUUAGGUCAACCCCCUCAUUGUACACAUGGGGAAACUGAGGCUGGGGGAGGGAAAGGGGUUCAGCUAAGGCCACACGCAGUGUCAGAGGAAGUGAUGAGACCAGAACACAGGUCUGACUCCUGCAGCCAGCUUCAGCUUUGCAAGAAGCUCUCGAACACCAGUCUAUACUUAAGUAGGCACAUCUUCAACAUCAGUAAAGGAACAGAAAGAUAAAGAAGGUUCUGAGGAGGCAGAAUUCACUCAGUAGAGGGAUAGAAGGAUGGGGAAAGGAAUGUAUAGAGGUAUCUUGCGGGCAUUACUGCAUCUAACCCUUCCCAGAUCCUGUGAGAGCAAUCGUUCUCAACCAGGGUUGACUGUGCCCCAAGGGGAUAUUUGGCAAGGUCAGGAGGCAUUGUCAUUAGGAAGGGAGAUUGCUACUGGCAUCUCAUGGAUAGAGGCCAGGGAGACAGCCUAACAUCCUACAAUGGACAAGACAGCCCUCACAACAAAGAAUUAUCUGGAUCAGUAGCAUCAGAGCUGAGAAACUCUGUUGUCUGGAGAGCAUUCUUCUAAACACACCCCAACUUAACAGUAAGACAGCCGAGGCUCAGAAGGUACAGCUGCUUACUUACUGUGGUCCUGGGCAAAUUACUUAACCUCUCUGUGCCUCUGUUUCCUCAUCUAUGAAAUAGAGAUAACAGUACUUCUGUCAAUGGUUGUUAUAAUGAUUAAAUACAUUUUUAUAAA